UUUAAUAUGUAAAUAUUAUAUUAAAAAUUUAUUUGCAGUUUUUAGUUUUAAAACAUUAUUUAAGUAAGUUUUAGUAAUUAAUUAUAGAUUUAAUAAAAUUUGUGCCAGCAAUUGCGGUUAUACAAAUAAUUCAAUUGAAAUUUAUUGGUUAAUAAUUAAUUUGUUUUAAUUAAUUUAUUAUUAAAAUUUUUAAGUGAAAUUUAAAUUUUAAUAUAAUUUUUUUGUUUAUAUUUGAAGUUAUUAAAAUUAAUAUUAAACUAGGAUUAGAUACCCUAUUAUUAUAAUUGUAAAGUUUCAAUACCAGAUUAGUAUUAGUUGUUUUCUUAAAAAUUAAAGGAUUUGGCGGUAUUUUAGUCUAUUCAGAGGAACCUGUCCUGUAAUCGAUAAUCCACGAUUAGAAUAACUUUUCUUUUUCUUGUAUAUCGUUGUUUUUGAAUAUUUUAUAAGAAUUUAAAUUUUCAAUAAGUAUAUUUUAGUUGAUUUCAGAUCAAGGUGCAGUUUAUAGGAAAGAAGAUGAUGGGUUACAUUAAAUUUAUUUUUGGUUUAAUAUUUUGAAUAAUAUUAUUAAAUUGGAUUUGAUAGUAAUAUUUUAUAUAUUUAUUAUAUGAUUUUAGCUCUAAAAUGUGUACAUAUUGCCCGUCGCUCUCAUUUAUUUGAGAUAAGUCGUAACAAAGUAGAUUUACUGGAAAGUGAAUCUAGUAUUAAU
rnacentral:ncRNA from 1 species